rnacentral:misc_RNA from 1 species
CCUCGCCCAACUCCGCUAAGCAACCCGCAAAACUGACCGCCGACACUGCGAUUCCACCUGCAUCCGCACACGCCACCGCUGUCGCUGCAGUCGUAGAGGUGCCACCCAGCUAUUCGUCGUUCUUUGUUUUGCAUGCGCAUCCUCCCCGCCGCGGCCAUCGCACUGCUUCCGUCCACCCCUCACAGCUUGCCGUUCCAGUACGGGGUGCUUCUCUCAUUCGCUUGACCACUUUUUCAGCUCCGUCGCAGCGUCUGGAUGUGUUUCUGGCUUUGCGAGCAUGGCGUCUCCACGCAAGGUAGAUCUGUUCGUGGCGCGUGCCUACUCGCGCAAGGGCGUGCAGUCAGGGCUUUUCUUCUGGACUGUUUUAGCCCUCGUCUUCGCGGGGACGUUCGUCGUCUCCAAAAUUCCGUUGGGCCUUUACACACCUACAGUCGGAUUCCAGCAGGGCAAACACCGCGAGCCGCCAAAGCAGAGUAUCCCACCCACGCCUACCACCCCAGCCGGCCGUGGCAUCAUUCGUGCGUACAACCAACGCAUUAUCGCUAUCGGGGACCUCCACGGCGACAUUGACCGACUCCGCAGCACCCUGCGCGCUGCGAAUGUACUGGAGAAGGACGCGGACGCCUGGCGGAAGGGGUGCAACGAUGUCGUGGUGCAGCUAGGCAACGUUGUGGGCUACGGCCCCGAUGUGCCGGAGAUGCUGCAGCUGCUGUCGGAGCUCAAGCCGCAGGCUCUCGCCUCAGGUGGACGCCUCAUCACCUUGAGCGGAAGCCAGGAGCUGCUCACCCUUUCCGGGGUCUUGGAAUACGUGCAUCCGCGGCUGCUGAACCUGUCCGCCGGCUAUGUCGGCGUACGCUACCUGUACGGCCCUGGCGGACGCUACGGGCGCAUGAUGGCCGAGGAAAACUUGGCCGUGGUGAUCGUCUCGGACAUCGUGUUUGUGCAUGGCGGGCUGACGGCCGCGUACGCCCGCCGCGGUGUCGACCAACUCAACGCCGAGUGGUAUGAGGGGGCUGCCUUGAACCUGACAAGGCACCCCUUUCACGACGAGGAGAGUCCGCUGUGGGACCACAGUGUUGUGCGGGCGGCUAUGGGCGGCAACUGCGGCCCUCUCUCUGCCGGCAUGGCGGCGCUCAAGGCAAAGGAAAACAGGGACAUCAAUCUCAUGGUGGUGGGCCACACGGCCAUGCAGGACGGGAAGGUGGGCACCUGGUGUGCCGGCAAGCUCAUGACCAUCGACGUCGCCAUGAGCCGGUACGUCGAGAAUGGCGGCUACGAGGCGUUCGUCAGCUUCCUACCGAUGCUGAAAAAGGUAAAACGGAAGAAGCUCGUCCGAAGCACGGCAGAGCGCGUCCAAACGCACUAUCCACUCGGCCCCGGCGUCCGCGCGACGCUCCUUACUCCGACAGAGGCUUAACGGCCAUGCCCCCUUCAGCCUGCUCGGCGUGUGCGUACAGCAAAGGCUGUUGACGCUGGUGUGUGUGUGCCUGCAUAUAUAUGUCUAUGCAUGUAUGUGUGUGUGUGUGUGGGUGCUGUGGCCCGAUACGGACAACCGUGCGAGCUUAGAGCCUAUCGCCAAGGUCGGCAACGGAACCCGAACGCGAAUCGGAUCCAUCGGAUCACGCAUGAUUAGGAUCUCGUGAAGGAGGACGCCGAUGCCCGGUCCGGGGCGAGGUCUGGGAUAAUGCGCGCGCGCGCGCGGAGUCACAUGAGUGCGCCAGUGAAGCGAGCUGGAACUUUCACGCCCUUCGCGUCCCCUCCCACCCUUCUGUUUGCAUGCUUGUGCAG